rnacentral:rRNA from 1 species
AGAGUUUGAUCCUGGCUCAGAACGAACGCUGGCGGCGUGGCUAAGGCAUGCAAGUCGAACGAACCUUUACAAGGGGUAACCCGAGUUUUGGUUAGUGGCGAACGGGUGAGGAAUUCAUGGAUAACGUACCCCGGACUCAGGGAUAGCGGCGGAACCUUUGGUUCCUUUGCGAAAGUGCCGGUAAUACCUGAUGACCCCUGCGAAUCGCAUGUUUCGCAGGGCAAAGCUCCGACGGUCCGGGAGCGGUCCAUGUCCUAUCAGCUUGUUGGUGAGGUAACGGCUCACCAAGGCAACGACGGGUAUCGGGCGUGAGAGCGUGAUCCGACACAUCGGAACUGAGAUACGGUCCGGACACCUACGGGUGGCUGCAGCAGCGAAUAUUCCGCAAUGGACGAAAGUCUGACGGAGCGACGCCGCGUGCAGGAAGAAGUCCUUCGGGAUGUAAACUGCUGUCAGGGGUGAGGAAACAAAUGACCAGCCCCAGAGGAAGCACCGGCUAACUCCGUGCCAGCAGCCGCGGUAAUACGGAGGGUGCAAGCGUUGUUCGGAAUUACUGGGCUUAAAGAGCGUGUAGGCGGAACGUCAGGUGUUGAGUGAAAGCCCCGGUCUCAAACCGGGAAUGGCUUGGCAAACCGGCGUUCUUGAGGCGGGUAGAGGUGACUGGAACGACUGGUGGAGCGGUGAAAUGCGUAGAUAUCAGUUGGAACGCCAGCGGCGAAAGCGAGUCACUGGGCCCGUCCUGACGCUGAGACGCGAAAGCGUGGGUAGCAAACAGGACUAGAUACCCUGGUAGUCCACGCCGUAAACGAUGCGCACUAGGUAUGAGAGACUCUGACGUCGAUCGUGCCGCAGUAAAAGCGAUAAGUGCGCCGCCUGGGGAGUACGGCCGCAAGGCUAAAACUCAAAGGAAUUGACGGGGGCUCACACAAGCGGUGGAGCAUGUGGAUUAAUUCGAAGCAACGCGAAGAACCUUACCUGGGUUUGACAUGCU